AUACGGAGGGUGCAAGCGUUACUCGGAAUCACUGGGCGUAAAGCGCGCGCAGGCGGUCUUUUAAGUUGGAUGUGAAAGCCUACGGCUCAACCGUAGAACUGCAUCCAAAACUAUUAGACUAGAGUGUGGGAGAGGAAGAUGGAAUUAGUUGUGUAGGGGUAAAAUCCGUAGAGAUAACUAGGAAUACCAAAAGCGAAGGCAAUCUUCUGGAACACUACUGACGCUGAGGCGCGAAAGCGUGGGGAGCAAACAGGAUUAGAAACACUAGUAGUCC
rnacentral:rRNA from 1 species